GCGGCCGUAACUAUAACGGUCCUAAGGUAGCGAAAUUCCUUGUCGGUUAAAUACCGACCUGCAUGAAUGGCGUAACGAGAUGGGAGCUGUCUCAACCAGAGAUUCAGUGAAAUUGUAGUGGAGGUGAAAAUUCCUCCUACCCGCGGCAAGACGGAAAGACCCCGUGGACCUUUACUACAACUUAGCACUGCUAAUGGGAAUAUCAUGUGCAGGAUAGGUGGGAGGCUUUGAAGUAAGGGCUUUGGCUCUUAUGGAGUCAA
rnacentral:rRNA from 1 species